rnacentral:rRNA from 1 species
UACGAAGGGGGCUAGCGUUGCUCGGAAUCACUGGGCGUAAAGCGCACGUAGGCGGCUUUCUAAGUCAGGGGUGAAAUCCUGGAGCUCAACUCCAGAACUGCCUUUGAUACUGGAGAGCUUGAGUCCGGGAGAGGUGAGUGGAACUCCGAGUGUAGAGGUGAAAUUCGUAGAUAUUCGGAAGAACACCAGUGGCGAAGGCGACUUACUGGACGAUUGUUGACGCUGAGGUGCGAAAGCGUGGGGAGCAAACAGG